rfam:Sus scrofa isolate TJ Tabasco breed Duroc chromosome 14, whole genome shotgun sequence.
UCUGGGGUGUGGCAUACGUACAGAGAAGCCAUACACCUCAGG